rnacentral:rRNA from 1 species
AUUGAACGCUGGCGGCAUGCCUUACACAUGCAAGUCGAACGGCAGCGCGGACUUCGGUCUGGCGGCGAGUGGCGAACGGGUGAGUAAUACAUCGGAACGUACCCUGUUGUGGGGGAUAACUAGUCGAAAGAUUAGCUAAUACCGCAUACGACCUGUGGGUGAAAGUGGGGGACCGCAAGGCCUCACGCAGCAGGAGCGGCCGAUGUCUGAUUAGCUAGUCGGUGGGGUAAAGGCCCACCAAGGCGACGAUCCGUAGCUGGUCUGAGAGGACGAUCAGCCACACUGGGACUGAGACACCGCCCAGACUCCUACUGGAGGCAGCAGUGGGGAAUUCUGGACAGUGGGGGCAACCCUGAUCCAGCAAUGCCGCGUGUGUAAAGAAGGCCUUCGGGUUGUAAAGCACUUUUGUCCGGAAAGAAAUCGCGCUGGUUAAUACCUGGCGUGGAUGACGGUACCGGAAGAAUAAGCACCGGCUAACUACGUGCCAGCAGCCGCGGUAA